ACGUAGGGUGCAAGCGUUAAUCGGAAUUACUGGGCGUAAAGCGUGCGCAGGCGGUUUUGUAAGACAGGCGUGAAAUCCCCGGGCUCAACCUGGGAAUGGCGCUUGUGACUGCAAAGCUGGAGUGCGGCAGAGGGGGAUGGAAUUCCGCGUGUAGCAGUGAAAUGCGUAGAUAUGCGGAGGAACACCAAUGGCGAAGGCAAUCCCCUGGGCCUGCACUGACGCUCAUGCACGAAAGCGUGGGGAGCAAACAGGAUUAGAUACCCUGGUAGUCCACGCCCUAAACGAUGUCAACUGGUUGUUGGUCCUUAGCUGGAUCAGUAACGAAGCUAACGCGUGAAGUUGACCGCCUGGGGAGUACGGCCGCAAGGUUG
rnacentral:rRNA from 1 species